ensembl:snoRNA
AUUACAAUAUGUUGAAAAUUAUGUUGGUAGGGACAUCUGAUUUAACCUGAUGAAUGCCAACAUCUCUGGCCUUUUCAU